UACGUAGGGUGCAAGCGUUGUCCGGAAUUAUUGGGCGUAAAGAGCUCGUAGGCGGUCUGUCACGUCGGAUGUGAAAACUCGGGGCUCAACCCCGAGCCUGCAUACGAUACGGGCAGACUUGAGUUCGGCAGGGGAGACUGGAAUUCCUGGUGUAGCGGUGAAAUGCGUAGAUAUCUGGAGGAACACCGGUGGCGAAGGCGGCAUUCUGGACCGGCAUUGACGCUGAUGCGCGAAAGCCAGGGGAGCAAACGGG
rnacentral:rRNA from 1 species